UACGUAGGGUGCAAGCGUUAAUCGGAAUUACUGGGCGUAAAGCGUGCGCAGGCGGUUAUGUAAGACAGAUGUGAAAUCCCCGGGCUCAACCUGGGAACUGCAUUUGUGACUGCAUAGCUAGAGUACGGCAGAGGGGGAUGGAAUUCCGCGUGUAGCAGUGAAAUGCGUAGAUAUGCGGAGGAACACCGAUGGCGAAGGCAAUCCCCUGGGCCUGUACUGACGCUCAUGCACGAAAGCGUGGGGAG
rnacentral:rRNA from 1 species